UACGUUUAUAUGAAAAAAUUAUUAUUCAAAUCUUUACUUCUCUCUGUUUGAAUAUGGAUUCUCAAAAACCUGAGAGCUAGAAUUACGCUAAGAGAGUGUUGUCAGUAUUAUGACUAUACAAUUAAAUGUAGUUUUCAAAAAGAAAAUUAUAAAAAAUGUAUCUAUAUUUUUCUCUUUUUGUGAUUAACGACUAUUAAUUAAGAAUUCUAUAUUUAUCCUAAAUACAGAUCCUUAAUCUCAAAGUUAAAUGGUAAAAGGUAACUUCCCAAUUCCAUAAUUAAAGUAAACACAUGAAACAAUAGAUUAUACAAUAAUUUUAACGGUAGGUUUUUCUAUUCCAAAAGAUGAAUCACAGAUUGUUAGAUGCUUUUCAAGAGUAAAAUCUAUUUCUUUUUUGACCACUUUAUAAAUCAAGGGAUCUAGAACAUAUUUUCGAGAAAAUGUUUCUCAAUUUGCAAUCUCAUUGCCUCCUGAACCACACUUUUGAAUUUUCUACGCUUAUCCUUUGAUGAGCCGCCUUCAAAUCAAGAUUUCCCUUCUUCAAACUCCCUCUUCUGUGACAUCUUUCAGAUACACACAAGAGCCGUUGAAAUACCAUUUACAUAAACUUUUAUGUGUUGGGUUGUUUUUGUACACCAAAUGAACCAUGAAGAGAUUUUUAGCAAAAAUAGAGUCUAUCUCAAACUAUUGUAUUAUAUUUUUAUAAGAUGAACUUGUUGAUAGAAAUAGAGGUUGCAUUUUUUGGCAAUCCUACGUAAAACUCUAAUCCAACCGAAGGUGAAGUUAAACCUCUAACCGUUAGUUGAGAAAUGACUCUCUUCUUACCUAUUUUCACCUUUAGCCUAGAAAUAAAGGUUACAUUUUUCUUCAUUUUCACCUAUUUUCACCUUUAAGCUCUGAUAAUUAAGUUUGCGAAAACGAAUAAAGAUUACUGAUAAAAUAUUACUACAAAAAUUAAUUCAAGUGGUCUAGUGAUUUUAAAGAUUUAAUGUGUGAUUUAAGAACUAUGGUGGGAAUCUUUUAAUCAUUGCGAUAUCAGUGAUUGUUGGCUAGCUAGUAUGAAUGUUCAAAUGACAAGAAUAUCCACUCUUUGC
rnacentral:sRNA from 1 species